CUCAAAUGAAAAUUGUACAGCAAAAGACGACGGGAGGAAGAUCUUUUUCUGCAAAGCAGAGGGCCUAUGCAGGAGCACUGGAAGGGCAUGAAAGGGAAGCAGUUUUUCCACCUAAUGGAAAUUUUCUUUGGCGUGGAGACCACAGAGUGAAAUCAGCCUCGUGUGCAGUGAUUGUUUCUUCAGCCCUUCCUUCGUGGCAACCUGGACCUGGCACAACCUCA
rnacentral:lncRNA from 1 species